rnacentral:rRNA from 1 species
CCGUUGCCAGCCCGCUCAGAAACUUAAAGGAAUUGACGGGGGCCCGCACAAGCGGUGGAGCAUGUGGUUUAAUUCGAUGAUACGCGAGGAACCUUACCUGGGCUCAAAUGUAUGUUGACGUAUUCUGAAAGGGAUACUUCUUCGGACAAUAUACAAGGUGCUGCAUGGUUGUCGUCAGCUCGUGCCGUGAGGUGUCGGGUUAAGUCCCGUAACGAGCGCAACCCCUAUCAUUAGUUGCCAUCAGGUCAAGCUGGGGACUCUAAUGAAACUGCCUACGCAAGUAGUGAGGAAGGUGGGGAUGACGUCAAAUCAGCACGGCCCUUACGUCCAGGGCUACACACGUGCUACAAUGGCCGGUACAAAGGGCAGCUACCUGGUGACAGGAUGCUAAUCUCAAAAGCCGGUCUCAGUUCGGAUCGGAGUCUGCAACCCGACUCGGUGAAGCUGGAAUCGCUAGUAAUCGCGCAUCAGCCAUGGCGCGGUGAAUACGUUCCCGGGCCUU